AGCGAACGCUGGCGGCAGGCUUAACACAUGCAAGUCGAACGGGCACUUCGGUGCUAGUGGCAGACGGGUGAGUAACACGUGGGAACGUACCUUUCGGUUCGGAAUAAUCCAGGGAAACUUGGACUAAUACCGGAUACGCCCUUCGGGGGAAAGAUUCAUCGCCGAUAGAUCGGCCCGCGUCUGAUUAGCUAGUUGGUGAGGUAAUGGCUCACCAAGGCGACGAUCAGUAGCUGGUCUGAGAGGAUGAUCAGCCACAUUGGGACUGAGACACGGCCCAAACUCCUACGGGAGGCAGCAGUGGGGAAUAUUGGACAGUGGGCGCAAGCCUGAUCCAGCCAUGCCGCGUGAGUGAUGAAGGCCUUAGGGUUGUAAAGCUCUUUUGUCCGGGAAGAUAAUGACUGUACCGGAAGAAUAAGCCCCGGCUAACUUCGUG
rnacentral:rRNA from 1 species